rnacentral:lncRNA from 1 species
UCUUGCCCAAAGCAGUGCUUAACUCCUUGUGGAAUGCUCCAGAUUGAUGUGCGUUCCAAGAGUGCUGAGGAUUACCUCCACACCAACCUGGCACCAUCGUUUGGGGCAUUGAAUGCAGAAACAGUGAAGAAGAUGGAUGAGGUUCUCAAGGUUUGCAUCUCGGGAACUACCACUCUUCUCGCCAAAGUGCCACCAGAAGAGCGAACUUGGGAGAAGGUCAACUCCAUGUUCAUGCAAAAUCCCCUGGUUGAGCCAAUGGGCGAUGGGAUUAGCAGAGCUGACAAGUUUCUCAACAAAAGCUCUAGCGAUUUCAAGAUUGACGGGUCACCUGAUGCAGCUAUUGUGAAAGUGGUAAUAGAAGCUAUGUAUUAUGGAAGACCUCUAUUAACCUUUGCGGCCUUCUCUCGUCACAGGUUCAGACCUGGUUUGUGAAUCUCAUUGCAGAUGAGGACGUCCUGAAAUCAACCAAGAUCGACAUUGAAGUUCUUGGGCGCAUUGUUGCUCAGUCAGGGGCGACCAUUACCAGCUUUGAAAAUUUCUUUGCCAAGCAUGAGCACCACGAGAAGACCAUAAUUGACAUCGGGGUCUUAAGGUACCCUGAUAUGCAAAACCCGUACUUCAAGGUUUGUGCCCAGGCUGCCCUUCGUAUUUCAGUCGCAGCUCAUGCUUAUGAGUACAGGUGUACCGCAUCAAACUCUUUGCUUGGUCUGAUAGCAACCGUAUUCUGUUCCAUCAGGAGGAUUCCAAUGGCAUCAUUGGAGGUGAGGUGUCUAAUGUGAACCACUGAAAACUGCACGCUCCUUUUGUUCUAUUUGCAGAGUUCACCUUCCGUAAGUUUAAGCCGCGCAAGGAGGUCAUUGACAAGAUGAACCCAGACGCCAAAAGGAAGGCUGUGGAAGCUGCAGAUAACAUCUUUGGUUUCUAAUAUCUAAAUUGAGCCAAGAUGCCUCUAAAGCUAAAACAUCAAGCUAAAAACAUCUUUCUAAAUACAUGACCUACUUGAAAAUAAUAGCUGUCUAUUGUCUUUAUAUUUUUUAAUCUCAAUUUCUGAAAAGAGACACCAAAAAAAAAGGAACGACAAACAAGUACUUUUGUCAAUGACUGGAACAUUGAAAGGUGAUGAUAAGUUUAUCUAUAUACUGUUUAUAGUCUUGUGGUAGUCUUACGUAUUCUUUGUGAUAUAUUUAAAACGAAACAGGACAGUAUGCCAUGUGGAGAUCAUUAUCAUUGUCUCGUUGGUCUUUGUAGAUUCCUCGCACUCAAGGUUACCACAAGUUAGCCAGGGACACGCUCAAUCAGCUCUAAGCCGAGUUGAUGGCUUAGUCGUGCGGCUGUGAGUGCCAUUUGGCUCUCCAUCUUGCCGGAUUUUCCCAUCCUGUCGCUUUGAUGCAAACGACCCCAGGAACACUGUCGCAAUGAUAUUGUAGAGCAACAAGGUCUCUCAGACAAGGGAAUAUCUAAAUGGAUUUUGACAAGGAACAGAACUUCGAGAAUAGAACUGUAGAGAAUGCUACUGGGCGUUUUUGUUGUAAACGGCUUGGCACAGCGCAGCCAGUGCUGAUGGAACAAGGUAAAGGGAGGCCCUCAAAACCGUCAAGCUUUACCUCCUCCUGUAACUCACGAACUUUGUCGCGAGCACAUUAUAAGUUUUCUUCGGCAAAUGCUUACAUACUGAUCAGUAGGCUUGAGAUCUCCUGCUAUAGGGUCUAGUUUUUAGGAUCCUAGAAAUCUACUCCGGGACAAGACGAUCCAGACGUUAAUACAGUUGUAAAUUUUUUAAAUUAGUUGUUCCGUGAAAUCUAAUAAGCUAAAUGUCCUAAACAGCAACUUCACUUUUUUCUUUUCUUUGUUUCUUGUCAAGCUGAGAACAUAGGUUUGUCUACAAGCAUGAGUUUCUAAAUGAAUAGUCCUGCGUUCUGACAUGGUUGAAUUAUCCUUGCUCAUAUUUACAUUAAGCAAAUAGUUUGACCAUGACCUUAAAAGUCAAUAUUAGUCACAUGGAUUACAUAAUCAAUACACUCUCGCAGCAAGGUGGUCCCUUCGUACUCGGUGCUCACUCCCUCCUCACCUGCCAAAUACCUCCCGACCUCAAGGCUGCUGCCAAACUCGUUGCGGGAGAACGCAAUAACAGCUCUCCAUGCUAGGCAAGAGCGUUCACUUCCACUGGCCACGCCUUCUGAAGAUCAGCCAAGCCUCGCCACAACUCAUAUUGCAGUGGAGUAGAAGAUGGAGGAUGUUUCUGUCCUGCGUCGAUACAAGUCGGGUUCUCCACGCAUUAAGCUGGACCAUCUUCCCUGGGUUCUGGGUGUACAUCCUUCCGCCCUACGUUGAGGAAAGGAAAGAUAUGUCUCCAGCCUUGUAAAUCUUGGUGGAGGGAACAUCUACCGUACAAGAUCUCCGGCCUUGUUGCCCACGGCCAGCCAGCAGCCCCUUGUGAUUUCUUCUUGAUCAGAAUGAGCAUUGAUAUCUCUUCCAGGCACCGAGGAGAUCCUGAAAGCCUGCUCGCUGUAUAUCGUCUGGACCCAACGACGACGUGAAAGCUUUUCUAUCCGACUUCGACGUCUCAACGUCGUGUCCCCACGGAUGAGUUCUUCGAUGUCACGAAUGAGGCUGGGCGGUUUUCCACUUGCUUGGUUCCUUGGUGGCCGGGGAGGAGUACUUCGACGCGACGGCAAUGCAGUUCCAGCGAAUCUGGGACCUGCUGAGAGAUUGUGUGUCCCAAACGCUUAUCGACGAAGGAUUCAUCACGGAACUUCCAUGAUGGAAGUUCUUCAGCAAGUCGAAUCGGCCGCGCAAUAUCAUCAUGGGCCGGGGAAAAAGCGCAUUUGGCGAGGAGAGGAAGAAUCCCAACAAGUUUGAGAAGGCGAAGGCCGAGCUCGCUGUGAAGAUUAUGGAACUCCCUCCCGCAAUGUAUCGGAAGCUCAAGAUUAUGAUAUGCUACGCAGCUGCAGGCCAGUUCGUCCAGUUUUUCGUGCUGCAAGCAAGAAGCGUUGAUUCACUGAGAAAUCUCUGUUUUCUAACGUUCUUUUGGCGCAGGGAGUCCUCACGCCAGUGACUGACGUGCUGGAUGUGACUAAGCACAUACCGUUCAAGCUCUACUUCUUGUUGCUAUGGCCGCUGAAACCCCGUGAGUGAUGAACAAGCUCGCACCGAUUCCGUACUGACUAGAUCGUUGCAGGCCUCCGCUUGAUACGUUUGUUCUCCAUGGUCACUGGGAAGUCAAGCUCACGCUCAAGGGCGCUGUGAAGAGAAUCAUAGACUUCGAAGCGUAUUCUUCCGAGCACGAGGUCUGUCUUGCCGGCCUCGAGGCCGCUUACGUCGCUGCCAUAGAAGGUGGCGGACAUAUGAUUAGUAGCGUGUUCGGGCCUACACUUGAGUCCAAGGAGGUACAACUCAUGCGCGAGGUGACUCUCACUGCCAUCCCGAAGCACAUGUAGGUUCUGACAUCUCGGAAUCAUCAGAACGAUCUUCUUCAUCAGACAGUAGCAGCGGCAGUGGCGGCAGGAGGAGAAAGAGAGCGAGAUUUGCGACGGUCACCAAGAGGACGGAAGCGAUCAAGGAGAUGACGAGGUGGAAACUCUACCACUCUGUGCGAAGAAAUAUCCCGACAAUGAGGAGGACAUGCGCGACAUGGCAUAUGGAGUUUUGCGAGGAUUGAAAGCUUUGCACAAAGCUGGUAAGCUUUCUUAAUUUUCUUUUCUUCUGUCUUUCGAUCUUAGUGUCUGUCUCAUCCUUGUUUGUAAUCCAGGUUUGGUGCACAAGAUCAUGUAUGACUACUUGAAAGAGAAGUACUUGCUGAUCGAUCUCAGCAAGAAUGAAGAAGUGCCAGCGUUUCAAUUUAAAGGCUGGAUCGCGACAAGGCUGGAGGCCGACUGGCGCUACAUUAUUUAAUCCGACUUCCAUCAACUCCGACUCGUACAGAAAUCGAACCAAAGACUUUGGUUCAUCGAUUUCCACCUAGAAUAAGAAUACGCCAUAGAAGAAGAAUUAGGGCGGACGUGGAUUAUGCUUAUUUAUAUUUUACCCUUAAAGUUACCAUCUUAGAAUUUAGGGCUCACGUAGAUUAUUCUUGUUCUUCCUCGGAAAUGCGCGGGGACGAGGAGGAUGAGCGAUCCCGAGGCGUCGGGCUACGUCGUGCUGCUGCGGCGAUCUGGAGGGCGGCCGGCGAUUGCACGCGCAGAUCGUCCGCUCGAGCUGGCACACCGAUCUCUUUGUCAGCAAUCCGCUCCAUCGCCAGCGCAUGGUCGUCUUCCGCAAGCUCUGCGUCCGCAACCUCUUCACCAUCGCCACGCUUGCCCAGAACGGCUGCUUCCGCGACGCGCGAUCCCUGUUCGUGGAAUCCCCCCGCCAUGACGUCGUUACCUGGAACUCGAUGCUCACCAUCGCCGCGCAGCGCCUCCGGAUCGGCGAGGCGCGGGAGGUCUUCGCGCGGAUGCCUGCCGGGGGCGUCGUCUCGGCGAACGCGAUGAUCGCAGCAUUUGCCCAAUGCGGGCAAAUUCGCGAAGCCCAGGAGUUCUUCCGCAACGCCAUGGCCGAGAGGGACGUCUCGAGAUGGAAAAAUCUCCUCCACGCCUGCGUCUCCUCCGGGGAGGUCGAUCUCGCGCGAUCGGUCUUCGAUGCUAUGCCGCACUGGGAUUGUGUCGCGUGGUUGAGCAUGAUCCAGGGCUACGCCGAGCGCUGAUGCACAACACCGAGGAGCUCUUCCUCGCGCUGGAUCAUCCGGAUCUCAUGUCCAUCACGUCCAUGAUCGCGGGCUAUGGAUCCGUGGGGAAGAUCGACCAGGCGAGGGAGCUCUUCUCGCGGAUGAAGCACUGCAACACCGUUGCCUGGAACGUGAUGAUCCAGGCGCUGAGGAGGCGCGGCAGGCAUUCGAUUCGAUGACGGCGCCGAGGAAUCUCUCGUCCUGGAACACGAUCAUCUCGGCCUACGCACAGGCGGGGCUGGUGGAUCGGGCGAGGGAGCUCUUCGAUCAAACCCUGGACAAGAACGUGGUGACCUGGACGGCGGUGAUGCACGUGGCAGCUCCGCAAGGCGCGAUCGAUCCUCGACGCCAUGCCGGAGCCAAACAUCGGAAUCCAUGGCGCUCGACGGUUGCGCGCCCGACGCGAUCACAUUCUCGUGCCACAUUGGAUCGAGCGUGCCUUGGUAAAUGGUAAACUAGAACGGUACCUUCUCUCCCUGUGGGAAUGCCUCGUUCAGAGCUUCAACAUCAUCUUCCAAAAAGACAAGCUCCUGAAUCGAGCUACACAUAUGCGUUUGUCAACAUGAUCACGUCCACCAUUUACUUUUGUUUCUGUGCACAGUGGUGCUCACCUGCUGGACUUUCUUCACAUUUUUUCGAAACAUCCGUCCUUUCUUCCCACCUCUCUCUUCGCGUUAGAGGCCCAAAGUCGCCGUUUUUAGCUCGUUAGAGCGCUUGGCUAGAUCAGUCGCCUCCUGUAAAGCCAUCACCUUGAAGAUAUUAGUUGCAAGAAAUGAGAACAAAUCACACACACACGAGUAAUAACACACUUGGGCCUAUUCUUGAACGCAAAUAUGAGGCUCACUGGUAAUGUUGCCAUUCCAACACCUCCAAACAACUGCAGGAAGGAAAUCAGAUCUUCUAGAAAACAACACAUAAAACGACAUUACCAUGAAGAGUAUUGAUCCUAUUAUUGUGUUUAAUGUGAUCACGUAAGUCACAGAUAGUUUUAACCAGAGAUCCAGACAUAUAAGCUGCACACUGUCACACAAUGUUGUCAGAUCAAUGAAGAAAGGGAAAAUGUAGAAGAAAAGGCUUACCAUGAGAGUAACAUUAGAAAACAAUGAGAAACCAGCCGAAACCAAGCACGAAGCCUUUGCAUUGAGCGAGCUAAAAUCAUUGGUGAACGCCAUCGUUGUGGAUGAAAGACUUCUCAUGGUGAAAUCGGCAUAACCAAUAACAACUUCAAGCAAUCACGUAGAAAAAGGGUUUAAGAACAAAAGAUGGAAAAAAGCUUCUUACCAUAGAGAAUUCCCAAAAGGAGGCAGAAGACUGUGAGGAGUAUCACCACCCACAAGAGAGCGUUCUUUACCCUUUGUGUCACAGUCCUGGAAAUCACCACGAACAAAGAAAGCUUUUGAGAUCAUGGAGGAAUAGAAAGAACUUAAGAAACUCUAGGAGGAGCUCGGUCGAUCGAGUAUUCUAAGAACAAGAACAAAAAGAUGGAAGAUUACUUCUCCUGAUCGCUCUCGUAGAAGAAGAUCGCGAAAGGAAUGAGGAGCACAGUGUCGAUGAUGUAAACCGCCCACCAUAGCUGCUUCAUCGGGAGAGUGAGCUUACACGCCCCGACGUAGAGAUUCUUCUCGCAGGAAUGGCGAUUCGCGACGUCCGCCGGGAGCAUCAGGAUCGAGAGUUGGGCAAUGCUGAGCCCAAUCACGACGAUGAUCUUGGGAAGAUAGGCCUGAUUCUGGAGCGCGUGAUGCCGGGGAUCCAGCGUCUCGAGGAGCUGGAGAACGGGGAGCGUAAUGCCGGUGGCGAUGGAUCCUCAGCUCCUCGGCCGCGGUAAUCUAUAGCGUGCCGGGCGGAUUGAGGGAUCCAGGGCGAUUGUGUGUCGUGGAGCAAUGGGAACCAGCUCCAGCUCUCCUACAUCGAGAAUGCUGUGGGAGGCGGUGGAAGAGUCACGGAGAUUCAUCUGGGAGAAGGAUGGGAUGCCGAGAGGCGGCGACUGGCGUAUGAUUCUCUCCCGGCUUUUGCUCUUCUCCAGAACCAGCGGCAAUUGGGCUACAACCCAGGCGACUGGUCACUGGUAUGAAAAAUUCUUCUCUUUUUCUCUAGAAACGCUAGUUGUGAUCGCAGGUGGGAGCAUGUUUUAGAAUAUAGCAAGAGCAUUCGCAGCGUUCUCGACCAGCCCACUCAAGGCAAGGUUGCGUGAGAGAAUGAUGUGAAAGAUUCAUUUGAUUUAUUUAUUUAUUUUGUGCAGGAGGAGAAGACCUCGAUGCUUAAGGCUGUGUGGGAGCUCAUAGAAGUUUUCUAUGUGGACAGAAGCGCGACAUGGUGGCUUCCGGAGCGUCUUGUAGACUGGCUAGCGGUAAGAAGCAGUGAGUUUUUUCUUGACUUACGAUUGAUUUGCCUGUGAGCUUUGCAGAAGUAUGACAAAGUCCUCUUGAUUGAUGAGGACACUGUACAUUCCAAGGUAGUGUCGUUCCAGCGGAAGCUUUCCGAGAUUCAAGUAAGUUCGAAGUCUUGCAGCUUUUUGUUUUCUCUUUGUGUAUCGUUGUUUAACUUGCACUUGCAGUUUCCCGAAGACGAUGCAGCUUACUGGGAUGCAAUGGCCUCGGCCUUGUCAGUCGGAUGGCUUGACGUUGUUGUAAGUUGUAAAACUGUGCGUGUAAGUUCCAUUGGUAAUCUCAAUCUUCCAGAUAGCGUUCUUGCGGAUGCAUGGAUCAUAUCGAUUGGAUCAGCUUGAUGACCGGCAGGUUUCUUUCUCCAUGCUGUUUUGUUGACUUGCGUUAACUUCCGGAUGCUUUUUUAUGUCUUGGCAGACUGAAAAUGGCCUCGUAGAAGCAGUUACACUGCUCAUUAUGCAAAUGCCGCGGCUGCGCCCGAGGCUCCCUGAUGGAAGUCCUGGUGUUGCUAUAGGUUUUAAGCCUGACUUUUCUAAGGUUUGAUGUGGUUGCAGCAAAGUGUUUAGUUUCUCAGAUUUUAUUACAUGCAGGCGAGGGAAAAAUGGCGAAGUCAGGUUUCCAAGCUUGAAAAUAGUGUGUUUUGGGCGGAAUGCAACCACCGUGGGACGCUUCUUGGUCUUAAGAAGCUAAUACAGGUGCUAUUGGGAAACGUUGAUGUUCUACAGCUCUCUACGUUUCACUGGAUGGAGCUGCUGGUGGCGCAUUUCCUACAUCUGAUACCUUUUUCUUUGGUAUGUAUGAACUGUGUAGUGUGCUCAGUUCACUUGCAAUUAUCGGGUGCAGGUUUUAGAUGGAAUGCGUAGCAUAGCUUCCAAGUGCAAAGGAUUGAAAAGUUCUGGGGACGAAGACCUUCAAGAACUUUUAUCUGCAAUUAUCAGCAACGACACCGAGGUAAAUGCUCUUCCCCGUCACAGUGGAGUUUAAUCUAGUACUAUACAGAUACUCUUGGCGAAGUGUUGGAAGGUUUUCAAUGCCUGGUAAGAACUUCUCAUGUCGAAUAUUGAUAUAAAUUUUCUAUCAGGAUGAUGGCGCAUGUUGAUGAUCUCCUGAUAGCAAAAGGGGAGGACGUUCGAUCUCUUCUUGAAGAAGACAGGCAAACUCUAGGCGGCUUGAGCUUGAAAGAACUCCAUCGUUUGGUUUAUUCUCAAGUACUGUCUUCGCACAGCUUAACCUGGCAGGUAUAUCGUUGAUUUCUUUGUUCUUGAUGUCUGUCUAACAAUUAUCUCAGCUAGCACCUGUUUACCUCGCGGCUUGCCCAAAGCAAGGCCUGGGAAUGCUUGAAGCUCUCCUAAUGAAGCAGAGUUGUUCCAAUCAGAUACUGGCAUUGAAGGUUGGUCUUGGUGUGACGUUUUCUUGAAUCUUAAUGUGAAUUUUGUGCAACAGGCACUAGAGAUAUGCCGCCUCUAUGAGCUUGAUACCGUGAGCACAGCCAUCGCCAGGGUUUAGUAUCCUCUUCCUUUCCAGGCUUGGGGUUCUCACAUGUGUUUUAUGUCUUCCAGGCUGUUGGUGUUCAUAGUUUAAAGCAUGGAAAGAAGGGCCAAGAGAUAAUGUGGCUUCAAUUGGCCCGAGACGAGCAGAGGCUUUCUACUCUUGCGGAUCAGAUUUUGAACACAAUAACGUCUGGUGAAGCUGAUAGUCUGGAUAAUCUCGAGGUAGCAGUCUUACGUUUUAUUUGAUACACGCACACUUUUAACGCUCUUUUCCCGUGCCAGCAUUUUGAGGGUCUCUGUGACAUCCUUGGCUCGGGAGCAACGAAGCAUCAAGGCCUGUCGUUGCUAGCAAGGUACUCACUUUAUACAGUUGCGAAACUAUCCGGAGCUCACUUCUAACUUCACACAGGUACAAAAGCUUUAAGGCAGCGCUGCAAAACAUCAGCGAUCUGCGUCGUAGGGAGGCUUCCUACACCGAAAACCUCGCUGCGCGAGGCAGAGCAGCGGUGACUUCUCUUCUCCAGGUUACCAAUCCGUUCGGAACUUCUUCUUGCUCGCUAAUACCCCGGCUUGCAGCUUCUAAAAUCUGGAACCUUUCCACGUAAAUUCUGGCUGUCCUUGCUCCAAGAAUCAGUAUGGAGCUGUUCUCACAUCUCGUUUACACUCUAAAAUUCGGAUCAAUCAGGUGGAGCUGCUGGAAUGGCCGGAGCAAGUGCUGGUUAGCGAGUCCGAAACAAACACUCUACUCUGCUGCCUCCAGGAACUCUUCCUCGCCAGGGACCGGCUAGAGAACGACAUCCUAGGCACCGCAGAGCCUGGCGCUUUGGAUCGCCUGAGAUUGGCGCUGGCAUCCAACUUGGGCCGUGCCAUCUUGCAAAGCUGAUCGUAGCUUGGCAUAAAUUCUCUCUGUCCAAAAAUCACUAGCUGAUUCUCAGCGUGCAACAAAUGUAGUUGCUCCACCACGAUCGCUGCUGCUUAUGCCGGUUGUCACCACCGCUACCACUGCUACCAGCGCCACCGCUAAACUUUGGCGAGGGGUUUCUAACAUUCUCGAUGGCUUUCAUCAGGACGUUGUUAUUGGUACGCUUGGGUGGUGGCAUCAAUCAACACCUCCCUAUCCUGCCUUGGAAGUCAGGCUCCCAAUCUCAGACAAGCGCAAACAAGCUUUUGCUACUCUCCCCUAACAGUGUGAUUUCACCCUGUGAAUUUCACCCUGUUGACGUUCACGGCCCAUUUCCUUCACCAUCAAUUCUCCGAAGGGUUUUUAAAGUUGUAAAAGUUGACUUAGUGGACCUGUGGGUUUCCACAAGCACUGGUUCCUUUGCGACGCGAUGCGGUUCCGGGCAAAGUCGUCUACUCAUUUGGCGAGGAGAGGACGCUGCAAUCUACCCAGAGCAAUGUACGGCAGUUUAUCAUGCCCUAAAAGCAAUAUGAUACCUGAUUUUCUUGAUAUUGGGACUACUGCAUGGCGUUUUCUGUUUGGUGUAAAUGUGUUUAACUCGUUUUCUGCACUAAACUAAUCUUUCAGACCACCCAAUCACCUUUUGUUACCUGCAGGUUUGGAGGUAUAUGUAUGAGUCAAGCUAUACUUCAUUUUGGGAUAAACAUGUUUUGUGCACUAAACUAACUCAUUUACCCCAUUAUAAAAAUGGAGUCUUCUUCUGGUGUACAUACCUCUUCUGAAGGUGAAUUGCAAUGGCAACCCUGGCGACAAUGCAGGGUGACAUUGUGGCGAAUUUUGAUUUCAGCAAGGUAAGUGGAACCUGUCUUGCCCAAAGCAGUGCUUAACUCCUUGUGGAAUGCUCCAGAUUGAUGUGUGUUCCAAGAGUUCUGAGGAUUACCUCCACAGCAACCUGGCACUAUCGUUUGGGGCAUUGAAUGCAGAAACAGUGAAGAAGAUGGAUGAGGUUCUCAAGGUUUGCAUCUCGGGAACUACCACUCUUCUCGCCAAAGUGCCACCAGAAGAGCGAACUUGGGAGAAGGUCAACUCCAUGUUCAUGCAAAAUCCCCUGGUUGAGCCAAUGGGCGAUGGGGUUAGCAGAGCUGACAAGUUUCUCAACAAAAGCUCUAACGAUUUCAAGUUUGAUGGGUAGCUACUGUGAAAGCGGUAAUAGAGUCAUGUAUUAUGGAAGAGCUCUAUUAACCUUUGCGGCCUUCUCUCGUCACAGGUUCAGGUCUGGUUUGUGAAUCUCAUCGCAGAUGAGAACGUCCUGAAAUCAACCAAGAUCGACAUUAAAGUUGUUGGGGAAAUUGUUGCUCAGUCAGGGGCGACCAUUACCAGCUUUGAAAAUUUCUUUGCCAAGCAUGAGCACCACGAGAAGACCAUAAUUGACAUCGGGGUCUUAAGGUACCCUGAUAUGCAAAACCCGUACUUCAAGGUUUGUGCCCAGGCUGCCCUUUGUAUUUCAGUCACAGCUCAUGCUUACGAGUACAGGUGUACCGCAUCAAACUCUUUGCUUGGUCUGAUAGCAACCGUAUCGUGUUCCAUCAGGAGGAUUCCAAUGGCAUCAUUGGAGGUGAGGUGUCUAAUGUAAACCACUGAAGACUGCACGCUCCUUUUGUUCUAUUUGCAGAGUUCACCUUCCGUAAGCUGCAGAUGACAUCUUUGGUUUCUAAUAUCCAGACUGUGUCAAUUGUCCCCUGCUUCACGCUAAAACACCUUUCUAAAUAAUAAUCAAGUCAUAGACCUUCAUUUACUUGAAAAUAACAGCUAUCUAUUGUCUUAAUAUUUUUUAAUCUCAAUUUCUGAAAAGAGACAAUCAGGGAAACAAAGACUUGAUAUACAAACUACAAUAAAAGUAAUAAAUAUUUAAAACCUAGAUGCUUUAGUACUUUUGUCAAUGUUGCAAACUUUUGCCUUCCAGUGGAACAUUGAAACGUGAUGAUAAAUUUAUCUCUGUCUAUAUACUGUUUAUAGUCUUGUGGUGCCCAUCAAGAAGCAUAAGUAUUCUUUGUGAUAUAUUAAUAAAACGAAACAGGACAGUUUGCCAUGUGAAGAUCAUUAUCAUUGUCUCGUUGGUCUUUGUAGAUUCUUCAUGCUCAAGGUUACCACAAGUUAGCCAGGGACACCCUCAAUCAGCCCUAAGCCAAGUUGAUGGCUUAGUCGUGAGUGCCAUUUGGCUCUCCAUCUUGCUGGAUUUUCCCAUCCUGUCGCUUUGAUGCAAACGACCCCAGGAACACUGUCGCAAUAAUAUUGUAGAAAUGGAUUUUGACAAGGAACAGAACUUUGAAAAUAGAACUUUAGAGAAUACUUGGAACAAGGCAAAGGGUCGAGCUUUUCCUCCUCCUCUAACUCACGAACUUUGUCACCAGCACAUUGUAAGUUUUCUUUUGCAAAUGCUUACGUACUGAUCAGUAGGCGUGACAUCUCCUGCUAUAGGGUCGAGUUUUUAGGAUCCUAGAAAUCUACUCCAGGACAAGACGAUCAAGACGUUAAUACAGUUGUAAUUUUUUUAAAUUAAUAAGCUAAAUGCGCGAAUCUUUCCAAAACAGCAACGUCACUUUGGUCUUUUCUUAGUUUCUUGUCCAGCUGAGAACAGCAAGCAUGAGUUUCUAAAUGAAUACGUCCUGCGUUCUGACAUGGUUGAAUUAUCCUUGCUCAUAUUUACGACCAGUAAACAUUACAUAAUCAACGGCUACUUUGAUUUUCUUUCUCUCGCAGCAAGGUGGUCCCUUCGUACUCGGUGCUCGCUCCCUCCUCGCCUGCCAAAUACCUCCCUGGUAUGGAAGUCCUGGUGUUGCUGUAGGUUUUAAGCCUGACUUUUCUAAGGUUUGAUGUGGUUGCAGCAAAGUUUUUAGUUUCUCAGAUUUUAUUACAUGCAGGCGAGGGAAAAAUGGCGAAGUCAGGUUUCCAAGCUUGAAAAUAGUGUGUUUUGGGCGGAAUGCAACCACUGUGGGACGCUUCUUGGUCUUAAGAAGCUAAUACAGGUGCUAUUGGGAAACGUUGAUAUUCUACAGCUCUCUACGAUUCAGUGGAUGGAGCUGCUGGUGGCGCAUUUCCUACAUCUGAUACCUUUUUCUUUGGCAUGUAUGAACUGUGUAGUGUGCUAAGUUCACAUGCAAUUAUCGGGUGCAGGUCUUAGAUGGAAUGCGUAGCAUAGCUUCCAAGUGCAAAGGAUUGAAAAGUUCUGGGGACGAAGACCUUGAAGAACUUUUAUCUGCAAUUAUCAGCAAUGACACCGAGGUAAAUGCUCUUCCCCGUCACAGUGGCAAGAACUUCUCAUGUCGAAUAUUUAUAUAAAUUUUCUAUCAGGAUGAUGGCGCAUGUUGAUGAUCUCCUGAUAGCAAAAGGGGAGGACGUUCGAUCUCUUCUUGAAGAAGACCUUGACAGAACUCCAUCGUUUGGUUUAUUCUCAAGUACUGUCUUCACACAGCUUAACCUGGCAGGUAUGUCUUUGAUUUCUUUCUUCUUGAUGUCUAAACCGGCUAGAGAACAACAUCCUAAGCACAGCAGAGCCUGGCGCUGUGGAUCACCUGAGAUUGGCACUGGCAUCCAACUUGGGCCGUGCCAUCUUGCAAAGCUGAUCGUUUCUUCGUUGUGAAACAAAGGUAGGAUUUCUUCUUCAACUGUACAAUUUAAGCAAAUAGUUUGACCGUAGAACUUCGCUAAAAGUCAAUAUUUAGUCAACAUAGUCUUCUGUCAUUGAAAAUGUUAGCUUUUCAUUGAUUUUCAAAGCAAUUAAUCUAUACACAUGUACGGCUACGUUGAUUUGUUAGUCACCCUCAGAACCAAGCACUACUACACCAGCGUCGUCCCUUCGUAUUCUGCAGAUGCCCGCAACGCCUCCCUAGUCUCGGGCACCCGAAGCAUCUCACGCCUGCCUUGGAUGGAUACAAGUCGGGCUCCCAAUCUCGGACAAGCCCAAUCAAGCUUUUGCUACUCUUGCAAAAGGCACAUGAAACGAGUGUGUGAUUUCACCCUGUUGACGUUCACGGCGCAUUUCAAUUCACCACUCUCCGAGACUAUGCUGUGAAACUUGACUUAGUGGACCUGUGGUUUUCCACAAGCGCUGGUUCCUUUGUGACGCGAUGCGGUUCCAGCUACCGGCUGGGGCUGCAGUUUAUCAUGCCCUAAAAGCAUAAUAUGAAACGAUACCUGAUUUUUGGCGUUGGGUCAAGCUAGACUACUGCACCGAAGGAGGCUUGGCGUUUUGCACCAAACGCGUUUGGUGUAGAUGCGUUUCCUGCACCGAACUAGUUUUCUGCACUAAACUAAUCUUUCAGAACGCUCAUCCAAAUCACCUUUUGUUUUUUAACCGGGUAUACCUGCAUUUUUGGAAGGAUAUGUAUGACAAAGUCAUGCAGCACGUGCUGCGAUGAGUCACUUCAUUUUGGGAUAAACAUGUUUUGUGCACUAAACUAACUCAUUUACCCCAUUAUAAAAAGUGAGUGUACAUACCUCUUCUGGUGUACAUACUUCUUCUGAAGGUGAAUUGCAAUGGCAACCAUGGUGACAAUGCAGGGAGCCUUCGGUUCAUUGAAGGAGAUUGGUGACAUUGUGGCGAAUUUUGAUUUCAGCAAGGUAAAGUUGAACCUGUCUUGCCCAAAGCAGUGCUUAACUCCUUGUGGAAUGCUCCAGAUUGAUGUGCGUUCCAAGAGUGCUAAGGAUUACCUCCACACCAACCUGGCACCAUCGUUUGGGACAUUGAAUGCAGAAACAGUGAAGAAGAUGGAUGAGGUUCUCAAAGUUUGCAUCUCGGGAACCACAGACCUUCUAGCCAAAGUGGCACCGAAAGAGCGAACUUGGGAGAAGGUCAACUCCAUGUUCAUGCAAAAUCCCCUGGUUGAGCCAAUGGGCGAUGGGAUUAGCAGAGCUGACAAGUUUCUCAACAAAAGCUCUAGCGAUUUCAAGAUUGACGGGUCACCGGACCCAGCUAUUGUGAAAGCGGUAAUAGAGUCAUGUAUUGUGGAAGAGCUCUAUUAACCUUUGCGGCCUUCUCUCGGCACAGGUUCAGGUCUGGUUUGUGAAUCUCAUCGCAGAUGAGGACGUCCUGAAAUCAACCAAGAUCGACAUUAAAGUUGUUGGGGAAAUUGUUGCUCAGUCAGGGGCGACCAUUACCAGCUUUGAAAAUUUCUUUGCCAAGCAUGAGCACCACGAGAAGACCAUAAUUGACAUCGGGGUCUUAAGGUACCCUGAUAUGCAAAACCCGUACUUCAAGGUUUGUGCCCAGGCUGCCUUUUGUAUUUCAGUCACAGCUCAUGCUUACGAGUACAGGUGUACCGCAUCAAACUCUUUGCUUGGUCUGAUAGCAACCGUAUCGUGUUCCAUCAGGAGGAUUCCAAUGGCAUCAUUGGAGGUGAGGUGUCUAAUGUAAACCACUGAAGACUGCACGCUCCUUUUGUUCUAUUUGCAGAGUUCACCUUCCGUAAGUUUAAGCCGCGCAAGGAGACCAUUGACGAGAUGAACCCAGACGCCAAAAAGAAGGCUGUGGAAGCUGCAGAUAACAUCUUUGGUUUCUAAUAUCUAAAUUGAGCCAAAGAUGCCUCAAGCUAAAACAUCUUUCUAAAUACAUGACCUAUAACAGCUAUCUAUUGUCUUUAUAUUUUUUAAUCUCAAUUUCUGAAAAGAGACAAUCAGGGAAACAAAGACUUGACAAUAAAAGUAAUAAAUAUCUAAAACCCAGAUGCUUUGGAUUCCAAGUACUUUUGUCAAUGACUGGAACAUUGAAAGGUGAUGAUAAGUUUAUCUAUAUACUGUUUAUAGCCUUGUGGUAUUCUUACGUAUUCUUUGUGAUAUAUUAAUAAAACGAAACAGGACAGUAUGCCACAUGUGGAGAUCAUUAUCAUUGUCUUGUUGGUCUUUGUAGAUUCUUCGCACUCAAGGUUACCACAAGUUAGCCAGGGACACGCUCAAUCAGCUCUAAGCCGAGUUGAUGGCUUAGUCGUGGGGCUGUGAGUGCCAUUUGGCUCUCCAUCUUGCCGGAUUUUCCCAUCCUGUCGCUUUGAUGCAAACGACCUAGGAACACUGUCGCAAUAAUAUUGUAGAGGAACAAGGUCUCUAGACAAAGGGCUAUAAUAAAUGGAUUUUGACAAGGAACAGAACUUCGAGAAUAGAACUCGUAAAGAAUGCUACGGUCCGUUUUUAGUGUAAACGGCUUGGCAAACGAAUGCCUAUGCUAUUGGAACAAGGCAAAGGGAGGCCCUCAAAACCGUCAAGCUUUACCUCCUUCUGUAACUCACGAACUUUGUCGAGCACAUUAUAAGUUUUCUUUGGCAAAUGCUUACAUACUGAUCAGUAGGCGUGACAUCUCCUGCUAUAGGGUCUAGUUUUUAGGAUCCUAGAAAUCUACUCCGGGAGACGUUAAUACAGUUGUAAAUUUUUUAAAUUAGUUGUUCCGUGAAAUCUAAUAAGCUAAAUGUCCUAAACAGCAACGUCACUUUGGUCNNNNNNNNNNNNNNNNNNNNNNNNNNNNNNNNNNNNNNNNNNNNNNNNNNNNNNNNNNNNNNNNNNNNNNNNNNNNNNNNNNNNNNNNNNNNNNNNNNNNNNNNNNNNNNNNNNNNNNNNNNNNNNNNNNNNNNNNNNNNNNNNNNNNNNNNNNNNNNNNNNNNNNNNNNNNNNNNNNNNNNNNNNNNNNNNNNNNNNNNNNNNNNNNNNNNNNNNNNNNNNNNNNNNNNNNNNNNNNNNNNNNNNNNNNNNNNNNNNNNNNNNNNNNNNNNNNNNNNNNNNNNNNNNNNNNNNNNNNNNNNNNNNNNNNNNNNNNNNNNNNNNNNNNNNNNNNNNNNNNNNNNNNNNNNNNNNNNNNNNNNNNNAAAAUAGUGUGUUUUGGGCGGAUGCACCACCGUGGGACGCUUCUUGGUCUUAAGAAGCUAAUACAGGUGCUAUUGGGAAACGUUGAUGUUCUACAGCUCUCUACGUUUCACUGGAUGGAGCUGCUGGUGGCGCAUUUCCUACAUCUGAUACCUUUUUCUUUGGUAUGUAUGAACUGUGUAGUGUGCUAAGUUCACUUGCAAUUAUCGGGUGCAGGUCUUAGAUGGAAUGCGUAGCAUAGCUUCCAAGUGCAAAGGAUUGAAAAGUUCUGGGGACGAAGACCUUCAAGAACUUUUAUCUGCAAUUAUCAGCAACGACACCGAGGUAAAUGCUCUUCCCAGUACUAUACAGAUACUCUUUGCGAAGUGUACGAAGGUUUUCAAUGCCUGGUAAGAACUUCUCAUGUCGAAUAUUGAUAUAAAUUUUCUAUCAGGAUGAUGGCGCAUGUUGAUGAUCUCCUGAUAGCAAAAGGGGAGGACGUUCGAUCUCUUCUUGAAGAAGACAGGCAAACUCUAGGCGGCUUGAGCUUGAAAGAACUCCAUCGUUUGGUUUAUUCUCAAGUACUGUCUUCGCACAGCUUAACCUGGCAGGUAUAUCGUUGAUUUCUUUGUUCUUGAUGUUUGUCUAACAAUUAUCUCAGCUAGCACCUGUUUACCUCGCGGCUUGCCCAAAGCAAGGCCUGGGAAUGCUUGAAGCUCUCCUAAUGAAGCAGAGUUGUUCCAAUCAGAAACUGGCAUUGAAGGUUGGUCUUGGUGUGACGUUUUCUUGAAUCUUAAUGUGAAUUUUGUGCAACAGGCACUAGAGAUAUGCCGCCUCUAUGAACCUGAUACCGUGAGCACAGCCAUCGCCAGGGUUUAGUAUCCUCUUCUUGCUCCAAGAAUCGGUAUGGAGCUGUUCUCACAUCUCGUUUACACUCUAAACUUCGGAUCGAUCAGAUGGAGCUGCUGGAAUGGCCGGAGCAAGUGCUGGUUAGCGAGUCCGAAACAAACACUCUACUCUGCUGCCUCCAGGAACUCUUCCUCGCCAGGGACCGCCUAGAGAACGACAUCCUAGGCACCGCAGAGCCUGGCGCUGUGGAUCGCCUGAGAUUGGCGCUGGCAUCCAACUUGGGCCGUGCCAUCUUGCAAAGCUGAUCGUUUCUACGAAGGUAGGAAGGAUUUCUUCUUGAACUGUACAAUUCAGAAGCGUGAGUCUAAUUAAGCAAAUAGUUUGACCGUAAAACUUCGCUAAAAGUCAAUUUUUAGUCAACACAGUCUUCAGUUAUUGGAAGUGUUUCAUUGGCUGCCAUUACACACCCCUUUAAUCAGUUGGGUUUAGGGUAGGAUUGUAAUAUUAUUGUUUAAUUUUCGUGGGCAGAAAUAUUUUGAAAGAAUAUUUAACAUGGUGGAUCUAAAGGAAGAUAAUAAACCCUAAGAAAAAGACUAUGGUGACAGGAAGGUGACUUAAAGAUGAUUGCAAUUAUUUCUUGGCGAGGGGAAAAUUGUUAAGCACCAAGUUAGGAUAAUAGGAUAAAAAAAGGACUUUACAAUCAAAUAAUCACCCCUUUAACCAGUUAGGUUAAGGUGUAAAAAAUAGAAUCAUACUCCCAGGCUCCAUCAUGUGGUUCCUGAGCAGUGACACAAAACAAUCUUACUCUUGUUCUUGAUAGCUUGGCAUAAAUUCUCUCUGUCCAAAAAUCACUAGCUGAUUCUCAGCGUGCAACAAAUGUAGUUGCUCCACCACGAUUGCUGCUGCUUAGUCACCACCACUACCACUGCUACCAGCGCCACUGCUAAACUUUGGCGAGGGGUUUCUAACAUUCUCGAUGGCUUUCAUCAGGACGUUGCUAUUGGUAUGCUUGGGUGGUGGCAUCAAUAAAACAGAUGCAUGCAACACCUCCCUAUCCUGCCUUGGCAAUCUCAGACAAGUGCAAACAAGAUUUUGCUACUCUCCCCUAACAGUGUGAUUUCACCCUGUUGACGUUCACGGCCCAUUUCCUUCACCAUCAAUUCUCCAAAGGGUUUUUAAAGUUGUGAAAGUUGACUUAGUGGACCUGUGGUUUUCCACAAGCACUCUACCCAGAGCAAUGUACGGCAGUUUAUCAUGCCCUAAAAGCAUAUGCGUAAAGAAUAUGAUACCUGAUUUUCUUGAUAUUGGGACUACUGCAUGGCGUUUUCUGUUCGGUGUAAAUGCGUUUAACUCGUUUUCUGCACUAAACUAAUCUUUCAGAACGCUCAAUCCACCUAAUCACCUUUUGUUUUUUAACCUGCAGUUUUGGAGGUAUAUGUAUGACAAAGUCAUGCACGAUGAGUCAAGCUAUACUUCAUUUUGGGAUAAACAUGUUUUGUGCACUAAACUAACCCAUUUACCCCAUUAGUCUUCUUCUGGUGUACAUACCUCUUCUGAAGGUGAAUUGCAAUGGCAACCAUGGCGACAAUGCAGGGAGCCUUGGUGACAUUGAGGCGAAUUUUGAUUUCAGCAAGGUAAAGUGGAACCUGUCUUGCCCAAAGCAGUGCUUAACUCCUUGUGGAAUGCUCCAGAUUGAUGUGCGUUCCAAGAGUUCUGAGGAUUACCUCCACACCAACCUGGCACCAUCGUUUGGGACAUUGAAUGCAGAAACAGUGAAGAAGAUGGAUGAGGUUCUCAAAGUUUGCAUCUCGGGAACCACAGACCUUCUAGCCAAAGUGCCACCGAAAGAGCGAACUUGGGAGAAGGUCAACUCCACGUUCAUGCAAAAUCCCCUGGUUGAGCCAAUGGGCGAUGGAGUUAGCAGAGCUGACCAGUUUCUCAACAAAAGCUCUAGCGACUUCAAGAUUGACAGGUCACCGGACCCAGCUACUGUGAAAGCGGUAAAAGAGUCAUGUAUUAUGGAAGAGCUCUAUUAACCUUUGCGGCCUUCUCUCGUCACAGGUUCAGGUCUGGUUUGUGAAUCUCAUCGCAGAUGAGGACGUCCUGAAAUCAACCAAGAUCGACAUUAAAGUUGUUGGGGAAAUUGUUGCUUAGUCAGGGGUGACCAUUACCAGCUUUGAAAAUUUCUUUGCCAAGCAUGAGCACCACGAGAAGACCAUAAUUGACAUCGGGGUCUUAAGGUACCCUGAUAUGCAAAACCCGUACUUCAAGGUUUGUGCCCAGGCUGCCUUUUGUAUUUCAGUCACAGCUCAUGCUUAUGAGUACAGGUGUACCGCAUCAAACUCUUUGUUUGGUCUGAUAGCAACCGUAUUGUGUUCCAUCAGGAGGAUUCCAAUGGCAUCAUUGGAGGUGAGGUGUCUAAUGUAAACCACUGAAGACUGCACGCUCCUUUUGUUCUAUUUGCAGAGUUCACCUUCCGUAAGUUUAAGCCGCGCAAGGAGCUCAUUGACAAGAUGAACCCAGACGCCAAAAAGAAGGCUGUGGAAGACAUCUUUGGUUUCUAAUAUCUAAAUUGAGCCAAAGAUGCCUCAAGCUAAAACAUCUUUCUAAAUACAUGACCUACUUGAAAAUAACAGCUAUCUAUUGUCUUUAUAUUUUUUAAUCUCAAUUUCUGAAAAGAGACAAUCAGGGAAACAAAGACUUGAUAUACAAACUACAAUAAAAGUAAUAAAUAUCUAAAACCUAGAUGCUUUGGAUUCCAAGUACUUUUGUCAAUGUUGCAAACUUUUGCCUUUGAAACGUGAUGAUAAAUUUAUCUCUGUCUAUAUACUGUUUAUAGUCUUGUGGUGCCCAUCAAGAAGCAUAAAUAUUCUUUGUGAUAUAUUACUAAAACGAAACAGGACAGUUUGCCAUGUGAAGAUCAUUAUCAUUGUCUCGUUGGUCUUUGUAGAUUCUUCGUGCUCAAGGUUACCACAAGUUAGCCAGGGACACCCUCAAUCAGCCCUAAGCCGAGUUGAUGGCUUAGUCGUGAGUGCCAUUUGGCUCUCCAUCUUGCUGGAUUUUCCCAUCCUGUCGCUUUGAUGCAAACGACUCCAGGAACACUGUCGCAAUAAUAUUGUAGAAAUGGAUUUUGACAAGGAACAGAACUUCGAAAAUAGAACUUUAGAGAAUGCUACUUGGAACAAGGCAAAGGGAGGCCCACAAAACCGUCGAGCUUUUCCUCCCCCUCUAACUCACGAACUUUGUCACAAGCACAUUGUAAGUUUUCUUUUGCAAAUGCUUACGUACUGAUCAGUAGGCGUGACAUCUCCUGCUAUAGGGUCGAGUUUUUAGGAUCCUAGAAAUCUACUCCAGGACAAGACGAUCAAGACGUUAAUACAGUUGUAAUUUUUUUAAAUUAAUAAGCUAAAUGCGCGAAUCUUUCCAAAACAGCAACGUCACUUUGGUCUUUUCUUAGUUUCUUGUCCAGCUGAGAACAGAGGUUUGUCUAGCUCAAGCAUGAGUUUCUAAAUGAAUACGUCCUGCGUUCUGACAUGGUUGAAUUAUCCUUGCUCAUAUUUACGACCAGUAAACAUUACAUAAUCAACGGCUACUUUGAUUUUCUUCCUCUCGCAGCAAGGUGGUCCCUUCGUACUCGGUGCUCGCUCCCUCCUCGCCUGCCAAAUACCUCCCUGGUAUGGAAGUCCUGGUGUUGCCGUAGGUUUUAAGCCUGACUUUUCUAAGGUUUGAUGUGGUUGCAGCAAAGUUUUUAGUUUCUCAGAUUUUAUUACAUGCAGGCGAGGGAAAAAUGGCGAAGUCAGGUUUCCAAGCUUGAAAAUAGUGUGUUUUGGGCGGAAUGCAACCACCGUGGGACGCUUCUUGGUCUUAAGAAGCUAAUACAGGUGCUAUUGGGAAACGUUGAUGUUCUACAGCUCUCUACGUUUCACUGGAUGGAGCUGCUGGUGGCGCAUUUCCUACAUCUGAUACCUUUUUCUUUGGUAUGUAUGAACUGUGUAGUGUGCUAAGUUCACUUGCAAUUAUCGGGUGCAGGUCUUAGAUGGAAUGCGUAGCAUAGCUUCCAAGUGCAAAGGAUUGAAAAGUUCUGGGGACGAAGACCUUCAAGAACUUUUAUCUGCAAUUAUCAGCAACGACACCGAGGUAAAUGCUCUUCCCAGUACUAUACAGAUACUCUUUGCGAAGUGUACGAAGGUUUUCAAUGCCUGGUAAGAACUUCUCAUGUCGAAUAUUUAUAUAAAUUUUCUAUCAGGAUGAUGGCGCAUGUUGAUGAUCUCCUGAUAGCAAAAGGGGAGGACGUUCGAUCUCUUCUUGAAGAAGACAGGCAAACUCUAGGCGGCUUGAGCUUGAAAGAACUCCAUCGUUUGGUUUAUUCUCAAGUACUGUCUUCGCACAGCUUAACCUGGCAGGUAUAUCGUUGAUUUCUUUGUUCUUGAUGUUUGUCUAACAAUUAUCUCAGCUAGCACCUGUUUACCUCGCGGCUUGCCCAAAGCAAGGCCUGGGAAUGCUUGAAGCUCUCCUAAUGAAGCAGAGUUGUUCCAAUCAGAAACUGGCAUUGAAGGUUGGUCUUGGUGUGACGUUUUCUUGAAUCUUAAUGUGAAUUUUGUGCAACAGGCACUAGAGAUAUGCCGCCUCUAUGAACCUGAUACCGUGAGCACAGCCAUCGCCAGGGUUUAGUAUCCUCUUCCUUUCCAGGCUUGGGGUUCUCACCUGUGUUUUAUGUCUUCCAGGCUGUUGGUGUUCAUAGUUUAAAGCAUGGAAAGAAGGGCCAAGGGAUAAUGUGGCUUCAAUUGGCCCGAGACGAGCAGAGGCUUUCUACUCUUGCGGAUAGCUUUUGAACACAAUAACGUCUGGUGAAGCUGAUAGUCUGGAUAAUCUCGAGGUAGCAGUCUUACGUUUUAUUUGAUACACGCACACUUUUAACGCUCUUUUCCCGUGCCAGCAUUUUGAGGGUCUCUGUGACAUCCUUGGCUCGGGAGCAACGAAGCAUCAAGGCCUGUCGUUCCUAGCAAGGUACUCACUUCAUACAGUUGCAAAACUAUCCGGAGCUCACUUCCAACUUCACGCAGGUACAAAAGCUUUAAGGCAGCGCUGCAAAACAUCAGAGAUCUGCGUUGUAGGGAGGCUUCCUACACCCGAACGGAUUGGUAACCUGGAGAAGAGAAGUCACCGCUGCUCUGCCAAGUGCAGCGAGGUUUUCGUAAAACCCCGGCUUGCAGCUUCUAAAAUCUGGAACCUUUCCACGUAAAUUCUGGCUGUCCUUGCUCCAAGAAUCGGUAUGGAGCUGUUCUCACGUCUCGUUUACACUCUAAACUUCGGAUCGAUCAGAUGGAGCUGCUGGAAUGGCCGGAGCAAGUGCUGGUUAGCGAGUCCGAAACAAACACUCUACUCUGCUGCCUCCAGGAACUCUUCCUCGCCAGGGACCGCCUAGAGAACGACAUCCUAGGCACCGCAGAGCCUGGCGCUGUGGAUCGCCUGAGAUUGGCACUGGCAUCCAACUUGGGCCGUGCCAUCUUGCAAAGCUGAUCGUUUCUACGAAGGUAGGAAGGAUUUCUUCUUGAACUGUACAAUUCAGAAGCGUGAGUCUAAUUAAGCAAAUAGUUUGACCGUAAAACUUCGCUAAAAGUCAAUUUUUAGUCAACACAGUCUUCAGUUAUUGGAAGUGUUAGCUUUUCAUUGGUUUUCAAUGAAUAUAAUUGUUUAAUUUUCGUGGGCAGAAAUAUUCUGAAAGAAUAUUUAACAUGGUGGAUCUAAAGGAAGAUAAUAAACUCUAAGAAAAAGACUAUGGUGACAGGAAGGUGACUUAAAGAUGAUUGCAAUUAUUUCUUGGCGAGGGGAAAAUUGUUAAGCACCAAGUUAGGAUAAUAGGAUAAAAAAACAUUGUUACACACCAGAUCAAAAUAAUAGGAUAAAAAAGGGACUUUACAAUCAAAUAAUCACCCCUUUAACCAGUUAGGUUAAAGUGUAAAAAAUAGAAUCAUACUCCCAGGCUCCAUCAUGUGGUUCCUGAGCAGUGACACAAAACAAUCCUACUCUUGUUCUUGAUAGCUUGGCAUAAAUUCUCUCUGUCCAAAAAUCACUAGCUAAUUCUUAGCGUGCAACAAAUGUAGUUGCUCCACCACGAUCGCUGCUGCUUAUGCCGGUUGUCACCACCACUACCACUGCUACCAGCGCCACUGCUAAACUUUGGCAAGGGGUUUCUAACAUUCUCAAUGGCUUUCAUCAGGACGUUGCUAUUGGUAUGCUUGGGUGGUGGCAUCAAUAAAACAGAUGCAUGCAACACCUCUUUAUCCUGCCUUGGAAGUCAGGCUCCCAAUCUCAGACAAGUGCAAACAAGCUUUCGCUUUCGCAUGAGGUGUCUAAUGUAAACCACUGAAGACUGCACGCUCCUUUUGUUCUAUUUGCAGAGUUCACCUUCCGUAAGUUUAAGCCGCGCAAGUAGACCAUUGACGAGAUGAACCCAGACGCCAAAAAGAAGGCUGUGGAAGCUGCAGAUAACAUCUUUGGUUUCUAAUAUCUAAAUUGAGCCAAAGAUACCUCAAGCUAAAACAUCUUUCUAAAUACAUGACCUACUUGAAAAUAACAGCUAUCUAUUGUCUUUAUAUUUUUUAAUCUUAAUUUCUGAAAAGAGACAAUCAGGGAAACAAAGACUUGAUAUACAAACUACAAUAAAAGUAAUAAAUAUCUAAAACCUAGAUGCUUUGGAUUCCAAGUACUUUUGCCUUCCAGUGGAACAUUGAAACGUGAUGAUAAAUUUAUCUCUGUCUAUAUACUGUUUAUAGUCUUGUGGUGCCCAUCAAGAAGCAUAAGUAUUCUUUGUGAUAUAUUAAUAAAACGAAACAGGACAGUUUGCCAUGUGAAGAUCAUUAUCAUUGUCUCGUUGGUCUUUGUAGAUUCUUCGUGCUCAAGGUUACCACAAGUUAGCCAGCCUCAAUCAGCCCUAAGCCGAGUUGAUGGCUUAGUCGUGAGUGCCAUUUGGCUCUCCAUCUUGCUGGAUUUUCCCAUCCUGUCGCUUUGAUGCAAACGACCCCAGGAACACUGUCGCAAUAAUAUUGUAGAAAUGGAUUUUGACAAGGAACAGAACUUCGAAAAUAGAACUUUAGAGAAUGCUACUUGGAACAAGGCAAAGGGAGGCCCACCAAACCGUCGAGCUUUUCCUCCCCCUCUAACUCACGAACUUUGUCACCAGCACAUUGUAAGUUUUCUUUUGCAAAUGCUUACGUACUGAUCAGUAGGCGUGACAUCUCCUGUUAUAGGGUCGAGUUUUUAGGAUCCUAGAAAUCUACUCCAGGACAAGACGAUCAAGACGUUAAUACAGUUGUAAUUUUUUUAAAUUAAUAAGCUAAAUGCGCGAAUCUUUCCAAAACAGCAACGUCACUUUGGUCUUUUCUUAGUUUCUUGUCCAGCUGAGAACAGAGGUUUGUCUAGCUCAAGCAUGAGUUUCUAAAUGAAUACGUCCUGCGUUCUGACAUGGUUGAAUUAUCCUUGCUCAUACUUACGACCAGUAAACAUUACAUAAUCAACGGCUACUUUGAUUUUCUUUCUCUCGCAGCAAGGUGGUCCCUUCGUACUCGGUGCUCGCUCCCUCCUCGCCUGCCAAAUACCUCCCUGGUAUGGAAGUCCUGGUGUUGCCGUAGGUUUUAAGCCUGACUUUUCUAAGGUUUGAUGUGGUUGCAGCAAAGUUUUUAGUUUCUCAGAUUUUAUUACAUGCAGGCGAGGGAAAAAUGGCGAAGUCAGGUUUCCAAGCUUGAAAAUAGUGUGUUUUGGGCGGAAUGCAACCACCGUGGGACGCUUCUUGGUCUUAAGAAGCUAAUACAGGUGCUAUUGGGAAACGUUGAUAUUCUACAGCUCUCUACAAUUCACUGGAUGGAGCUGCUGGUGGCGCAUUUCCUACAUCUGAUACCUUUUUCUUUGGUAUGUAUGAACUGUGUAGUGUGCUAAGUUCACUUGCAAUUAUCGGGUGCAGGUCUUAAUGCGUAGCAUAGCUUCCAAGUGCAAAGGAUUGAAAAGUUCUGGGGAUGAAGACCUUCAAGAACUUUUAUCUGCAAUUAUCAGCAACGACACCGAGGUAAAUGCUCUUCCCAGUACUAUACAGAUACUCUUUGCAAAGUGUACGAAGGUUUUCAAUGCCUGGUAAGAACUUCUCAUGUCGAAUAUUUAUAUAAAUUUUCUAUCAGGAUGAUGGCGCAUGUUAAUGAUCUCCUGAUAGCAAAAGGGGAGGACGUUCGAUCUCUUCUUGAAGAAGACCUUGACAGAACUCCAUCGUUUGGUUUAUUCUCAAGUACUGUCUUCGCACAGCUUAACCUGGCAUUGAUUUCCUUCUUCUUGAUGUCUAAACCGGCUAGAGAACGACAUCCUAAGCACCGCAGAGCCUGGCGCUGUGGAUUGCCUGAGAUUGGCACUGGCAUCCAACUUGGGCCGUGCCAUCUUGCAAAGCUGAUCGUUUCUUCGUUGUCAAACAAAGGUAGGAUUUCUUCUUGAACUGUACAAUUCAGAAGCGUGAGUCUAAUUGAGCAAAUAGUUUGACCGUAGAACUUCGCUAAAAGUCAAUAUUUAGUCAACAUAGUCUUCUGUCACUGAGAAUGUUAGCUUUUCAUUCAUUUUCAUACUUGAACUCAGCAAUUAAUCUAUACACAUGUACGGCUACGUUGAUUUGUUAGUCACCCUCAGAACCAAGCACUACUACACCAGCGUCCUAGUCUUGGGCACCCGAAGCAUCUCACGCCUGCCUUGGAUGGAUACAAGCCGGGCUCCCAAUCUCGGACAAGCCCAAUCAAGCUUUUGCUACUCUUGCAAAAGGCCCCAGACCAGCGCAUGAAACGAGUGUGUGAUUUCACCCUGUUGACGUUCACGGCCCUUUUCAUUUCACCACUCUCCGAGACGAUGCUGUGAAACUUGACUUAGUGGACCUGUGGUUUUCCACAAGCGCUGGUUCCUUUGCGAUGCGAUGCGGUUCCAGCGACCGGCUGGGGCAAAGCCGUCUACGCAUUUGGCGAGGAGAGGAAGAAUCCCAACAAGUUAAGUGGCGUUGGGUCAAGCUAGACUACUGCACCGAAGGAGGCUUGGCGUUUUGGACCGAACGUGUUUGGUGUAGAUGCGUUUCCUGCACCGAACUAGUUUUCUGCGCUAAACUAAUCUUUCAGAACGCUCAUCCAAAUCACCUUUUGUUUUUUAACCGGGUAUACCUGCAAUUUUUGGAGGUAUAUGUAUGACAAAGUCAUGCAGCACGUGCUGCGAUGAUACUUCAUUUUGGGAUAAACAUGUUUUGUGCACUAAACUAACUCAUUUACCCCAUUAUAAAAAGUGAGUGUACAUACCUCUUCUGGUGCACAUACUUCUUCUGAAGGUGAAUUGCAAUGGCAACCAUGGCAACAAUGCAGGGAGCCUUCGGUUCAUUGAAGGAGAUUGGUGACAUUGUGGCGAAUUUUGAUUUCAGCAAGGUAAAGUUGAACCUGUCUUGCCCAAAGCAGUGCUUAACUCCUUGUGGAAUGCUCCAGAUUGAUGUGCGUUCCAAGACUGCUGAGGAUUACCUCCACACCAACCUGGCACCAUCGUUUGGGGGAUUGAAUGCAGAAACAGUGAAGAAGAUGGAUGAGGUUCUCAAAGUUUGCAUCUCGGGAACCACAGACCUUAUAGCCAAAGUGGCACCGAAAGAGCGAACUUGGGAGAAGGUCAACUCCAUGUUCAUGCAAAAUCCCCUGGUUGAGCCAAUGGGCGAUGGGAUUAGCAGAGCUGACAAGUUUCUCAACAAAAGCUCUAGCAAUUUCAGGAUUGACGGGUCACCGGACCCAGCUAUUGUGAAAGCGGUAAUAGAAUCAUGUAUUAUGGAAGAGCUCUAUUAACCUUUGCGGCCUUUUCUCGUCACAGGUUCAGGUCUGGUUUGUGAAUCUCGUCGCAGAUGAGGACGUCCUGAAAUCAACCAAGAUCGACAUUAAAGUUCUUGGGGAAAUUGUUGCUCAGUCAGGGGCGACCAUUACCAGCUUUGAAAAUUUCUUUGCCAAGCAUGAGCACCACGAGAAGACCAUAAUUGACAUCGGGGUCUUAAGGUACCCUGAUAUGCAAAACCCGUACUUCAAGGUUUGUGCCCAGGCUGCCCUUUGUAUUUCAGUCACCGCUCACGUUUUUGAGUACAGGUGUACCGCAUCAAACUCUUUGCUUGGUCUGAUAGCAACCGUAUUGUGUUCCAUCAGGAGGAUUCCAAUGGCAUCAUUGGAGGUGAGGUGUCUAAUGUAAACCACUGAAAGACUGCACGCUCCUUUUGUUCUAUUUGCAGAGUUCACCUUCCGUAAGUUUAAGCCGCGCAAGGAGGUCAUUGACAAGAUGAACCCAGACGCCAAAAGGAAGGCCGUGGAAGCUGCAGAUAACAUCUUUGGUUUCUAAUCCAAGAUGCCUCAAGCUAAAACAUCUUUCUAAAUACAUGACCUACUUGAACUAUCUAUUGUGUUUAUAAAAUAAUCACAAUCAGGGCAUAGACAAUAAAAGUAAUAAAUAUCUAAAACCUAGAUGCUUUGGAUUCCAAGAUGAUAAGUUUAUCUAUAUACUGUUUAUAGUCUUGUGGUAGUCUUAUGAUAUAUUAAUAAAACGAAACAGGACAGUAUGCCAUGUGUAUCAUUGUCUUGUUGGUCUUUGUAAAUUCUUCGCACUCAAGGUUACCACAAGUUAGCCAGGGACACCCUCAAUCAGCUCUAAGCCGAGUUGAUGGCUUGGUCGUGCGGCUGUGAGUGCCAUUUGGCUCUCCAUCUUGCCGUCGCUUUGAUGCAAACGACCACAGGAACACUGUCGCAAUAAUAUUGUAGAGCAACAAGGUCUCUCAGACAAGGGAAUAUCUAAAUGGAUUUUGACAAGGAACAGAACUUCGAGAAUAGGACUGUAGAGAAUGCUACUGGGCGUUUUUAUUGUAAACGGCUUGGCACAGCGCAGCCAGUGCUGAUGGAACAAGGCAAAGGGAGGCCCUCAAAACCGUCAAGCUUUACCUCCUUCUGUAACUCACGAACUUUGUCGCGAGCACAAUAUAAGUUUUCUUUGGCAAAUGCUUACAUACUGAUCAGUAGGCGUGACAUCUCCUGCUAUAGGGUCUAGUUUUUAGGAUCCUAGAAAUCUACUCCGGGAGACGUCAAUACACCAACUUACAAAGAAAAUUAAUAUUGCAGGUGCUUUUAUGCUGCCAAAAUUUGAGUUGUAAAUUUUUUAAAUUAGUUGUUCCGUGAAAUCUAAUAAGCUAAAUGUGCGAAUCUUUCCAAAACAGCAACUUCACUUUUUUCUUUUCUUUGUUUCUUGUCCAGCUGAGAACAUAUGAAUAGUCCUGCGUUCUGACAUGGUUGAAUUAUCCUUGCUCAUAUUUACAUUAAGCAAAUAGUUUGACCAUGACCUUCUUAAAAGUCAAUAUUAGUCACAUGGAUUACAUAAUCAAUACACUUGUAUACUUUGCUCUCGCUGCAAGGUGGUCCCUUCGUACUCGGUGCUCGCUCCCUCCUCACCUGCCAAAUACCUCCCAACCUCAAGGCUGCUGCCAAACUCGUUGCGGGAGAACGCAAUAACAGCUCUCCAUGCUAGGCAAGAGCGUUCACUUCCACUGGCCACGCCUUCUGAAGAUCAGCCAAGCCUCCCCACGACUCAUAUUGCAGUGGAGUAGAAGAUGGAGGAUGUUUCUGUCCUGCGUCGAUACAAGUCGGGUUCUCCACGCAUUAAGCUGGACCAUCUUCCCUGGGUUCUGGGUGUACAUCCUUCCGCCCUACGUCGAGGAAAGGAAAGACAAGCUUGAUCUUGUCUCCAGCCUUGUAAAUCUUGGUGGAGGGAACAUCUUCCGUACAAGCUCGCCCGCCUUGUUGCCCUGCUGACGGGGACGGCCAGCCAGCAGGCCCUCGUGAUUUCUUCUUGAUCAGAAUGAGCAUUGAUAUCUCUUCCAGGCACCGAGGAGAUCCUGAAAGCCUGCUCGCUGUAUAUCGUCUGGGCCCGACGACGACGUGAAAGCUUUUCUAUCCGACUUCGACGUCUCGACGUCGUGUCCCCCCUCCUUCCUCCAUGGAUGAGUUCUUCGAUGUCACGAAUGAGGCUGGGCGGUUUUCCACUUGCUUGGUUCCUUGGUGGCCGGGGAGGAGUACUUCGACGCGACGGCAAUGCAGUUCCAGCGAAUCUGGGACCUGCUGAGAGAUUGUGUGUCCCAAACGCUUAUCGACGAAGGAGUCAUCACGGAACUUCCAUGAUGGAAGUUCUUCAGCAAGUCGAAUCGGCCGCGCAAUAUCAUCAUGGGCCGGGGAAAAAGCGCAUUUGGCGAGGAGAGGAAGAAUCCCCACAAGUUUGAGAAGGUGAAGGCCGAGCUCGCUGCGAAGAUUAUGGAACUCCCUCCGGCAAUGUAUCGGAAGCUCAAGAUUAUGAUAUGCUACGCAGCUGCAGGCCAGUUCGUCCAGUUUUUCAUGCUGCAAGCAAGAAGCGUUGAUUCACUGAGAAAUCUCUGUUUUCUAACGUUCUUUUGGCGCAGGGAGUCCUCACGCCAGUGACUGACGUGCUGGAUGUGACUAAGCACAUACCGUUCAAGCUCUACUUCUUGUUGCUAUGGCCGCUGAAACCCCGUGAGUGAUGAACAAGCUCGCACCGAUUCCGUACUGACUAGAUCGUUGCAGGCCUCCGCUUGAUACGUUUGUUCUCCAUGGUCACUGGGAAAUCAAGCUCACGCUCGAGGGCGCUGUGAAGAGAAUCGUAGACUUCGAAGCGUAUUCUUGCAAACACGAGGUCUGUCUUGCCGGCCUCGAGGCCGCUUACAUCGCUGCCAUAGAAGGUGGCGGACAUAUGAUCAGUAGCGUGUUCGGGCCUACACUUGAGUCCAAGGAGGUACAACUCAUGCGCGAGGUGACUCUCACUGCCAUCCCGAAGCACAUGUAGGUUCUGAUAUCUCGGAAUCAUCAGAACGAUCUUCUUCAUCAGACAGUAGCAGCGGCAGUGGCGGCAGGAGGAGAAAGAGAGCGAGAUUUGCGACGGUCACCAAGAGCACGGAAGCGAUCAAGGAGAUGAAGGCGGUCUAUGAGGUGGAAACUCUACCACUCUGUGUGAUGAAAUAUCCCGACAAUGAGGAGGACAUGCGCGACAUGGCAUAUGGAGUUUUGCGAGGAUUGAAAGCUUUGCACAAAGCUGGUAAGCUUUCUUAAUUUUCUUUUCUUCUGUCUUUCGGUCUUAGUGUCUGUCUCAUCCUGGUUUGUAAACUUCCAGGCUUGGUGCACAAGAUCAUGUAUGACAAGAAGUACUUGCUGAUCGAUCUCAGCAAGAAUGAAGAAGUGCCAGCGUUUCAAUUUAAAGGCUGGAUCGCGACAAGGCUGGAGGCCGACUGGCGCUACGUGAUUUAAUCCGACUUCCAUCAACUCGGACUCGUGCUCCAGUCUACAGAAAUCGAACCAAAGACUUUGGUUCAUCGAUUUGCUCUUGAGCAGACCUCAGGUCAACCACUGCUAAAAGGCUUUUAGUGAACACACAUAGAAUAAGAAUAUGCCAUAGAAGAAGAAUUAGGGCGGACGUGGAUUAUGCUUCGCUUGGAUUUUUCUAUCCUUAGAAUAUGCUUUAAACUCAAACGAAUUUUAGGGCACGACAGAUGCCCCUAGUCUUCUUCUUCCUCGGAAAUGCGCGGGGACGAGGAGGAUGAGCGAUCCCGGGGCGUCGGGCUACGUCGUGCUGCUGCGGCGAUGCAUCGCGGGCAGGGAUCUGGAGGGCGGCCGGCGAUUGCACGGGCUGGCACACCGAUCUCUUCGUCGCCAAUCUCCUCAUCCAGAUGUAUGGCGCCUGCCGCUCCAUCGCCAGCGCAUGGUCGUCUUCCGCGAGCUCCGCGUCCGCAACCUCUUCACCAUCAACAUCACCAUCGCCGCGCUUGCCCAGAACAGCUGCUUCCGCGACGCGCGAUCCCUGUUCGUGGAAUCCCCCCGCCGCGACGUCGUUACCUGGAACUCGAUGCUCACCAUCGCCGCGCACCGCCUCCGGAUCGGCGAGGCGCGGGAGGUCUUCGCGCGGAUGCCUGCCCGGAGCGUCGUCUCUGCGAACGCGAUGAUCGCAGCAUUUGCCCAAUGCGGGCAAAUUCGCGAAGCCCAGGAGUUCUUCCGCGACGCCAUAGCCGAGAGGGACGUCUCGAGCUGGAACAAUCUCCUCCACGCCAGCGUCUCCUCCAGCGAGGUCGAUCUCGCGCGAUCGGUCUUCGAUGCUAUGCCGCACUGGGAUUGUGUCGCGUGGUUGAGCAUGAUCCAGGGCUACGCCGAACGCUGAUGUGCAACGCCGAGGAGCUCUUCCUCGCGCUGGAUCAUCCGGAUCUCAUGUCCAUCACGUCCAUGAUCGCGGGCUAUGAAGAUCGACCAGGCGAGGGAGCUCUUCUCGCGGAUGAAGCACUGCAACACCGUUGCCUGGAACGUGAUGAUCCCGGCGCUGAGGAGGCGCGGCAGGCAUUCGAUUCGAUGACGGCGCCGAGGAAUCUCUCGUCCUGGAACACGGUCAUCUCGGCCUACGCACAGGCGGGACUGGUGGAUCGCGCGAGGGAGCUCUUCGAUCAAACCCUGGACAAGAACGCGGUGACCUGGACGGCGGUGAUGCACGCGGCAGCUCCGCGAGGCGCGAUCGAUCCUCGACGCCAUGCCGGAGCCAAACAUCGUGUCGUGGACGACGAUGAUCACGGCCUUACGCGCAGCACGGCGCCGGCGCCGACGCGAUCCAGCUCUUCCGGAUCAUGGAUCUUGAGACGAUCGUGAGCGUGCUUUUCGCGGCCACGGCGAUCCAAGAUCCAUCGCUAGCGCACCACAUCCUGCCCGAUAUCCGCCACAGCGCCUCUACCGCGAGGGCGCGGUGGGGAAUUCUCUCGUCCAUCUCUUCAGCCGAUCGGGACGGCUGGACGACGCGCGCGAGAUCUUCCAGGGGAUGAUCGACAGAGCACGGUUUCUUGGAAUAUCGCCAUCACGGCCACGGCCAAGGCCGCUCCAGCUGCUGGAAUCCAUGGUGCUCGACGGUUGCGCGCCCGACGCGAUCACAUUCUCGUGUCACAUUGGAUCGCUGGAUCACCUUGUUGAACAUAGAGGAUUGAAAAUAAACGUUUAAAAGAAACGUGCCUUGGUACCUAUAGUUUCAUGAUAAAAACCAUCACAUUCUAGAAAAUGCAUUUUACGAAAACAUGCUUACUUCAUGGGAUGAAUGGAAAGCAACAGAAGCCUCAUUCCCAGAUGCAUUUCUCCAGAUAUAACAGACAUGACGAGGUAGUAGCAAAAGAUUGCAAAUGUGGUGGUUCCUAGCAAGCCUGAAAGGAAGGAAACUAUUCAGGUCUAGAGAUCGCAUCGACAGAAAGUACCCCAGGCACUGUCAAGCUGAAUAAAGACUUGGUUCAGAAACGGAAAAGCUGGAGGAUUGACAAGCAUGAAAACAAUGAUGUGGAGAAGCCAAAUUAUAGACAAAGCCAAACUGCAACAAGAGAAAUAAUAAGACUGAAUCUUUUUCUUAAGACUUAAAAGACUUUCUUACCUGACAAUGCCAAAAACAAGCUUGGCUAGCUAGAAGAGAACCGUAAGAGCCCAGGAUGUGUCUGCCUGAGAGUAAACCAACAUUAGAAUCAACACAAAAACUUAAAUGGUAAACUAGAACGGUAGCUUCUCUCCCUGUGGGAAUGCCUCGUUCAGAGCUUGAACAUCAUCUUCCAAAAAGACAAGCUCCUGAAUCGAGCUACACAUAUGCGUUUGUCAACACGAUCACGUCCACCAUUUACUUUUGUUUCUGUGCGCAGGGGUGCUGACCUGCUGGACUUUCUUCACAUUUUUUCGAAACUUCCGUCCUUUCUUCCCACCUCUCUCUUCGCGUUGGAGGCCCAAAGUCGCCGUUUUUAGCUCGUUAGAGCGCUUGGCUAGAUCAGUCGCCUCCUGUAAAGCCAUCACCUUGAAGAUAUUAGUUGCAAGAAACGAGAACAAAUCACACACACACACACCUUUACGUAUUGAGCACGAGUAGUAACACACUUGGGCCUAUUCUUGAACGCAAAUAUGAGGCUCAGUGGUAAUGUUGCCAUUCCAACACCUCCGAACAUCUGCAGGAAGGAAAUCAGAUCUUCUAGAAAACAACACAUAAAACGACAUUACCGUGAAGAGUAUUGAUCUUAUUAUUGUGCUUAAUGCGAUCAUGUAAGUCGGGAAGGGCGCACGCCCAGACCACGUAGUUUUAACCAGAGAUCCAGACGUAUAAGCUGCACACUGUCACACAAUAUUGUCAGAUCAAUGAAGAAAGGGAAAAUGUAAAAGAAAAAGUUUACCAAAUCAUUGGUGAAUGCCAGCGUCGUGGAUGAAAGAUGUCUCACGGUGAAAUCAGCAUAGCCGAUCACAGCUUCAAGCAAUCACGUAAAAAAAGGGUUUAAGAACAAAAGAUGGAAAAGAGCUUCUCACCAUAGAGAAAUCCCAAGAGGAGGCAGAGGACUGUGAGGAGUAUCACCACCCGUUCUUUACCCUUUGUGUCACAGUCCUGGAAAUCACCACGAACAAAGAAAGCUUUUGAGAUCAUGGAGGAAUAGAAAGAACUUAAGAAACUCUAGGAGGAGCUCGGUCGAUUGAGUGUUCUAAGAACAAGAAGAAAAAGAUGGAAGAUUACUUCUCCUGGUCGCUCUCGUAGAAGAAGAUCGCGAAAGGAGUGACGAGAUAGACGAGCACAGUGUCGAUGAUGUAAACCGCCCACCAUAGCUGCUUCAUCGGGAGAGUGAGCUUACACGCCCCGACGUAGAGAUUCUUCUCGCAGGAAUGGCGAUUCGCGACGUCCGCCGGGAGCAUCAGGAUCGAGAGUUGGGCAAUGCUGAGCCCAAUCACGACGAUGAUCUUGGGAAGGUAGGCCUGAUUCUGGAGCGCGUGAUGCCGGGGAUCCGGCGCCUCGAGGAGCUGGAGAACGGGGAGCGUAAUGCCGGUGGCGAUGGAUCCUCCAGCUCCUCGGCCGCGGUAAUCUAUAGCGUGCCGGGCGGAUUGAGGGAUCCAGGGCGAUUGUGGGUGUCGUGGAGCAAUGGGAACCAGCUCCAGCUCUCCUACAUCGAGAAUGCUGUGGGAGGCGGCGGAAGAGUCACGGAGAUUCAUCUGGGAGAAGGAUGGGAUGCCGAGAGGCGGCAUGAUUCUCUCCCGGCUUUUGCUCUUCUCCAGAACCAGCGGCAAUUGGGCUACAACCCAGGCGACUGGUAUGAAAAAUUCUUCUCUUUUUACUCUAGAAACGCUAGGUGUGAUCGCAGGUGGGAGCAUGUAUUAGAGUAUAGCAAGAGCAUUCACAGCGUUCUCGACCAGCCCACGCAAGGCAAGGUUAGCCAUUGUAUCAUGCGUGAGCGAAUGAUGUGAAAGAUUUUUUUUGUUUUUUUCUUGCAGGGGGAGAAGACCUCGAUGUUUAAGGCUGUGUGGGAGCUCAUAGAAGUUUUCUAUGUGGACAGAAGCGCGACAUGGUGGCUUCCGGAGUGUCUUGUAGACUGGCUAGCGGUAAGAAGCAGUGAGUUUUUUCUUGACUUAUGAUUGAUUUGCCUGUGAGCUUUGCAGGAGUACGACGAAGUCCUCUUCAGUGAUGAAGACACUGUACAUUCCAAGGUGGUGUCGUUCCAGCGGAAGCUUUCCGAGAUUCAAGUAAGUUCGAAGUCUUGCAGCUUUUUGUUUUCUCUUUGUGUAUCAUUUUUUAACUUGCACUUGCAGUUUCCCGAAGAUGAUGUAGCUUUCUGGGAUGCAAUGGCUUCGGCGUUGUCAGUCGGAUGGCUUGACGUUGUUGGAAGUUGUAAAACUGUCCGUGUAAGUUUCAUUGGUAAUCUUAAUCUUCCAGAUAGCUUUCUUGCGGAUGCAUGGAUCGUAUCGAUUGGAUCAGCUUGAUCACCGGCAGGUUUCUUUCUUCAUGCUGUUCUGUUGACUUGCGUUAACUUCCGGAUGCUUUUUUAUGUCUUGGCAGACUGAAAAUGGCCUCUUAGAAGCAGUUACACUGCUCAUUAUGCAAAUGCCGCGGCUGCGCCCGAGGCUCCCUGAUGGAAGUCCUGGUGUUGCUAUAGGUUUUAAGCCUGACUUUUCUAAGGUUUGAUGUGGUUGCAGCAAGUUUCUCAGAUUUGAUUACAUGCAGGCGAGGGAAAAAUUGGCGAAGUCAGGUUUCCAAGCUUGAAAAUAGUGUGUUUUGGGCGGAAUGCAACCACCGUGGGACGCUUCUUGGUCUUAAGAAGCUAAUACAGGUGCUAUUGGGAAACGUUGAUGUUCUACAGCUCUCUACGUUUCACUGGAUGGAGCUGCUGGUGGCGCAUUUCCUACAUCUGAUACCUUUUUCUUUGGUAUGUAUGAACUGUGUAGUGUGCUAAGUUCACUUGCAAUUAUCGGGUGCAGGUCUUAGAUGGAAUGCGUAGCAUAGCUUCCAAGUGCAAAGGAUUGAAAAGUUCUGGGGACGAAGACCUUGAAGAACUUUUAUCUGCAAUUAUCAGCAACGACACCGAGGUAAAUGCUCUUCCCCGUCACAGUGGUAAGAACUUCUCAUGUCGAAUAUUUAUAUAAAUUUUCUAUCAGGAUGAUGGCGCAUGUUGAUGAUCUCUUGAUAGCAAAAGGGGAGGACGUUCGAUCUCUUCUUGAAGAAGACCUUGACAGAACUCCAUCGUUUGGUUUAUUCUCAAGUACUGUCUUCGCACAGCUUAACCUGGCAGGUAUGUCUUUGAUUUCUUUCUUCUUGAUGGGCAUCCAGCCAUCUUGCAAAGCUGAUCGUUUCUUCGUUGUCAAACAAAGGUAGGAUUUCUUCUUGAACUGUACAAUUCAGAAGCGUGAGUCUAAUAGUUUGACCGUAGAAUUUCGCUAAAAGUCAAUAUUUAGUCAACAUAGUCUUCUGUCAUUGAAAAUGUUAGCUUUUCAUUGAUUUUCAUACUUGAACUCAGCAAUUAAUCUAUACACAUGUACGGCUACGUUGAUUUGUUAGGCACCCUCAGAACCAAGCACUGCUACACCAGCGUCGUCCCUUCGUACUCUGCAGAUGCCCGCAACGCCUCCCUAGUCUCAGGCACCCGAAGCAUCUCACGCCUGCCUUGGAUGGAUAUAAGUCGGGCUCCCAAUCUCAGACAAGCCCAAUCAAGCUUUUGCUACUCUUGCAAAAGGCCCCAGACCAGCGCAUGAAACGAGUGUGUGAUUUCAUCACGGCCCAUUUCAUUUCACCACUCUCCGAGACGAUGCUGUGAAACUUGACUUAGUGGACCUGUGAUUUUCCACAAGCGCUGGUUCCUUUGCGACGCGAUGUGGUUCCAGCGACCGGCUGGGGCAAAGCCGUCUACGCAUUUGGCGAGGAGAGGAAGAAUCCCAACAAGUUAAAUGCUGUAGGUUAUCAUGCCCUAAAAGCAUAUGCAUAAAGAAUAUGAAACGAUACCUGAUUUCUGGCGUUGGGUUAAGCUCCGAAGGAGGCUUGGCGUUUUGCACCAAACGCGUUUGGUGUAGAUGCGUUUCCUGCACCGAACUAGUUUUCUGCACUAAACUAAUCUUUCAGAACGCUCAUCCAAAUCACCUUUUGUUUUUUAACCGGGUAUACCUGCAUUUUUUUGGAGGUAUAUGUAUGACAAAGUCAUGCAGCACUGAGUCACUUCAUUUUGGGAUAAACAUGUUUUGUACACUAAACUAACUCAUUUACCCCAUUAUAAAAAGUGAGUGUACAUACCUCUUCUGGUGUACAUACUUCUUCUGAAGGUGAAUUGCAAUGGCAACCAUGGCGACAAUGCUGGGAGCCUUCGGUUCAUUGAAGGAGAUUGGUGACAUUGUGGCGAAUUUUGAUUUCAGCAAGGUAAAGUUGAACCUGUCUUGCCCAAAGCAGUGCUUAACUCCUUGUGGAAUGCUCCAGAUUGAUGUGCGUUCCAAGACUGCUGAGGAUUACCUCCACACCAACCUGACACCAUCGUUUGGGGGAUUGAAUGCAGAAACAGUGAAGAAGAUGGAUGAGGUUCUCAAAGUUUGCAUCGCGGGAACCACAGACCUUCUAGCCAAAGUGCCACCGAAAGAGCGAACUUGGGAGAAGGUCAACUCCAUGUUCAUGCAAAAUCCCCUGGUUGAGCCAAUGGGCGAUGGGAUUAGCAGAGCUGACAAGUUUCUCAACAAAAGCUCUAACGAUUUCAAGUUUGACAGGUCACCGGAUGCAGUUAUUGUGAGAGCGGUAAUAGAAGUUAUGUAUUAUAGAAGAGCUCUAUUAACCGUUGCGGCCUUCUCUCAUCACAGGUUCAGACCUGGUUUGUGAAUCUCAUUGCAGAUGAGGACGUCCUGAAAUCAACCAAGAUCGACAUUGAAGUUCUUGGGCGCAUUGUUGCUCAGUCAGGGGCGGCCAUUAACAGCUUUAAAACUUUCUUUGCCAACGAUGAGCACCACGAGAAGACCAUAAUUGACAUCAGGGUCUUAAUGUACCCUGAUAUCCAAAACCCGUACUUCAAGGUUUGUAUUUCUUCAGCCGUUCCCAGCCCUUCGUAUUUCAGUCACAGCUCAUGUUUUUGAGUACAGGUGUACCGCAUCAAACUCUUUGCUUGGUCUGAUAGCUACCGUAUUCUGUACCAUCAGGAGGAUUCCAAUGGCAUCACUGGAGGUGAGGUGUCUAAUGUGAACCACUGAAAACUGCACGCUCCUUUUGUUCUAUUUGCAGAGUUCACCUUCCGUAAGUUUAAGCCGCGCAAGGAGGUCAUUGAGAACAUGAACCCAGAUGCCAAAAAGAAGGCUGUGGAAGCUGCAGAUAACAUCUUUCGUUUCUAAUAUCCAGGCUGUGUCAAUCGAGCCAAGAUGCCCUUUGCUUCAAGCUAAAACAUCUUCCUAGAUAAUAAUGAUCUAUUGUGUUUACAUGUUUUAAUCUCAAUUUCUGAAAAGAGACAAUCAGCCUGGAACGACAAACUACAAUAAAGUAAUAAAUAUCUAAAAGCUAGAUGCUUUGGAUUCCAAGUACUUUUGUCAAUGUAGCAAUGUUUUGCCUUCCACUGGAACAUUGAAAGGUGAUGAUAAGUUUAUCUAUCUAUCUAUAUACUGUUUAUAGUCUUGUGGUGCCCAUCAAGUAUUCUUUGUGAUAUAUUAAUAAAACGAAACAGGACAGUUUGCCAUGUGUAGAUCAUUGUCUCGUUGGUCUCUGUAGGUUCUUCGCGCUCAAGGUUACCACAAGUUAGCCAGGGACACGCUCAAUCAGCUCUAAGCCUCUGGUGCUGGAUUUUCCGAUCCUGUCGCUUUGAUGCAAACGACCCCGGGAACACUGUCGCAAUAAUAUUGUAGAGCAACAAGGUCUCUCAGACAAGGGAAUAUCUAAAUGGAUUUUGACAAGGAACAGAACUUCGAAAAUAGAACUUUAGAGAAUGCUACUUGGAACAAGGCAAAGGGAGGCCCUCAAAACCGUCGAGCUUUUCCUCCUCUAACUCACGAACUUUGUCACGAGCACAUUGUAAGUUUUCUUUUGCAAAUGCUUACGUACUGAUCAGUAGGCGUGAUAUCUCCUGCUAUAGGGUCGAGUUUUUAGGAUCCUAGAAAUCUACUCCGGGACAAGACGAUCAAGACGUUAAUACAAUUGUAAUGUUUUUAAAUUAAUAAGCUAAAUGCGCGAAUCUUUCCAAAACAGCAACGUCACUUUGGUCUUUUCUUAGUUUCUUGUCCAGCUGAGAACAGAGGUUUGUCUAGCUCAAGCAUGAGUUUCUAAAUGAAUACGUCCUGCGUUCUGACAUGGUUGAAUUAUCCUUGCUCAUAUUUACGACCAGUCUAAAGCUUAAACAUUACAUAAUCAACGGCUACUUUGAUUUUCUUCCUCUCGCAUACUCGGUGCUCGCUCCCUCCUCGCCUGCCAAAUACCUCCCUGAUAUGGAAGUCCUGGUGUUGCUAUAGGUUUUAAGCCUGACUUUUCUAAGGUUUGAUGUGGUUGCAGCAAAGUUUUUAGUUUCUCAGAUUUUAUUACAUGCAGGCGAGGGAAAAAUGGCGAAGUCAGGUUUCCAAACUUGAAAAUAGUGUGUUUUGGGCGGAAUGCAACCACUGUGGGACGCUUCUUGGUCUUAAGAAGCUAAUACAGGUGCUAUUGGGAAACGUUGAUGUUCUACAGCUCUCUACGAUUCACUGGAUGGAGCUGCUGGUGGCGCAUUUCCUACAUCUGAUACCUUUUUCUUUGGCAUGUAUGAACUGUGUAGUGUGCUAAGUUCACUUGCAAUUAUCGGGUGCAGGUCUUAGAUGGAAUGCGUAGCAUAGCUUCCAAGUGCAAAGGAUUGAAAAGUUCUGGGGACGAAGACCUUCAAGAACUUUUAUCUGCAAUUAUCAGCAACGACACCGAGGUAAAUGCUCUUCCCCGUCACAGUGGUAAGAACUUCUCAUGUCGAAUAUUUAUAUAAAUUUUCUAUCAGGAUGAUGGCGCAUGUUGAUGAUCUCCUGAUAGCAAGAGGGGAGGACGUUCGAUCUCUUCUUGAAGAAGACCUUGACAGAACUCCAUCGUUUUGUUUAUUCUCAAAUACUGUCUUUGCACAGCUUAACCUGGCAGGUAUGUCUUUGAUUUCUUUCUUCUUGAUGUCUAAACUGGCUAGAGAACGACAUCCUAAGCACCGCAGAGCCUGGCGCUGUGGAUCGCCUGAGAUUGGCACUGGCAUCCAACUUGGGCCGUGCCAUCUUGCAAAGCUGAUCGUUUCUUCGUUGUCAAACAAAGGUAGGAUUUCUUCUUGAACUGUACAAUUAAGCAAAUAGUUUGACCGUAGAACUUCGCUAAAAGUCAAUAUUUAGUCAACAUAGUCUUCUGUCAUUGAAAAUGUUAGCUUUUCAUUGUUUUUCAUACUUGCACUCAGCAAUUAAUCUAUACACAUGUACGGCUAUGUUGAUUUGUUAGUCACCCUCAGAACCAAGCACUACACCAGCAUCGUCCCUUCGUACUCUCCCUAGUCUUAGGCACCCGAAGCAUCUCACGCCUGCCUUGGAUGGAUACAAGUCAGGCUCCCAAUCUCGGACAAGCCCAAUCAAGCUUUUGCUACUCUUGCAAAAGGUGCAUGAAACGAGUGUCUGAUUUCACCCUGUUGACGUUCACGGCCCAUUUCAUUUCACCACUCUCUGAGACGAUGCUGUGAAACUUGACUUAGUGGACCUGUGGUUUUCCACAAGCGCUGGUUCCUUUCCAGCGACCGGCUGGGGCAAAGCCGUCUACGCAUUUGGCGAGGAGAGGAAGAAUCCCAACAAGUUAAGUGCUGCAGUUUAUCAUGCCCUAAAAGCAUAAUAUGAUUUUUGGCGUUGGGUCAAGCUAGACUACUGCACCGAAGGAGGCUUGGCGUUUUGCACCAAACGCGUUUGGUGUAGAUGCGUUUCCUGCACCGAACUAGUUUUCUGCACUAAACUAAUCUUUCAGAACGCUCAUCCAAAUCACCUUUUGUUUUUUAACCGGGUAUACCUGCAUUUUUUUGGAGGUAUAUGUAUGACAAAGUCAUGCAGCACGUGCUGCGAUGAGUCACUUCAUUUUGGGAUAAACAUGUUUUGUACACUAAACUAACUCAUUUACCCCAUUAUAAAAAGUGAGUGUACAUACCUCUUCUGGUGUACAUACUUCUUCUGAAGGUGAAUUGCAAUGGCAACCAUGGCGACAAUGCAGGGAGCCUUCGGUUCAUUGAAGGAGAUUGGUGACAUUGUGGCGAAUUUUGAUUUCAGCAAGGUAAAGUUGAACCUGUCUUGCCCAAAGCAGUGCUUAACUCCUUGUGGAAUGCUCCAGAUUGAUGUGCGUUCCAAGACUGCUGAGGAUUACCUCCACACCAACCUGGCACCAUCGUUUGGGGGAUUGAAUGCAGAAACAGUGAAGAAGAUGGAUGAGGUUCUCAAAGUUUGCAUCUCGGGAACCACAGACCUUAUAGCCAAAGUGGCACCGAAAGAGCGAACUUGGGAGAAGGUCAACUCCAUGUUCAUGCAAAAUCCCCUGGUUGAGCCAAUGGGCGAUGGGAUUAGCAGAGCUGACAAGUUUCUCAACAAAAGCUCUAGCGAUUUCA